CCUCUAUAACUACUUACUGUAUCGAAAGUCCUUAAAGAUCCUGUUGACUUAAUAAAUACUCUGAUCGCUAAUACUAAAUCAAGACUCUAUGUACCAAAAGAUGAGUAAAUCGAAAGGACAGGAAGAUAUAGAUGAUUGAAAAUAAAGUAAGAAGUAGUAUAGAGAAUUCUGUAUUAAUCACAACUCGAUAUAGCUAUAUAUAGAAGGAGACUCAGCCGACCAGAAGAGUCCCUAAAUUGGUGUAGCGUGUUAUAACAUAACAGGCUACAUAUAAAGUCUGCAAAAGUGAAGAGACCCACAGCCCGACGUGCGUUUUGGCGAUAAUGAUCGCCUUUCUCAAGGGCACGAGUAGACAAGAAAAGUCCACUCACCCCCCCUCCUCCUUUUAUAACACUGGUGCCAAAUCCUACUUACAAUUAGUGGGAUGUGUCUCAAUCUAGACCGCCAAUGAAGUUCAGCGGUCAGAGGUCCCAGAAUCAAGUACUCGGCAUAAUCCGAGGAAGCAGGAAUGGCAAUGAAUCAGAGCACAGAAAAGUCCCAAGUGAGGAUGCGCAUGCAUAUGUCGAG